rnacentral:rRNA from 1 species
AGAGCUUUUAGCUCUAGUGGCGGACGGGUGAGUAACACGUGAGAAUCUGCCCUUAGGAGGAGGAUAACAGCUGGAAACGGUUGCUAAUACUCCAUAUGCCGAGAGGUGAAAGGAUUUAUCCACCUAAGGAGGAGCUCGCGUCUGAUUAGCUAGUUGGUAGGGUAAAGGCCUACCAAGGCGACGAUCAGUAGCUGGUUUGAGAGGAUGAUCAGCCACACUGGGACUGAGACACGGCCCAGACUCCUACGGGAGGCAGCAGUAGGGAAUUUUCCGCAAUGGGCGAAAGCCUGACGGAGCAAUACCGCGUGAGGGAUGACGGCCUGUGGGUUGUAAACCUCUUUUCUCAAGGAAGAAGUUCUGACGGUACUUGAGGAAUAAGCAUCGGCUAACUCUGUGCCAGCAGCCGCGGUAAUACAGAGGAUGCAAGCGUUAUCCGGAAUCACUGGGCAUAAAGCGACUGUAGGUUGUUUGGUAAGUCUGCUGUUAAAGACUGGGGCUCAACCCCAGAAAAGCAGUGGAAACUGCCGGACUUGAGUGUGGUAGA